AGUAAAUAGAUACCCUGGUAGUCCACGCCGUAAACGAUGAGUACUAGGUGUAGGAGGUAUCGACUCCUUCUGUGCCGCAGUUAAACACAAUAAGUACUCCGCCUGGGAAGUACGGUCGCAAGAUUAAAACUCAAAGGAAUUGACGGGGGCCCGCACAAGCAGCGGAGCAUGUGGUUUAAUUCGAAGCAACGCGAAGAACCUUACCUAGACUUGACAUCCCCUGAAUAACGUAGAGAUACGCGAAGCCCUUCGGGGCAGGGAGACAGGUGGUGCAUGGUUGUCGUCAGCUCGUGUCGUGAGAUGUUGGGUUAAGUCCCGCAACGAGCGCAACCCUUAUCAUUAGUUGCUACCAUUUAGUUGAGCACUCUAGUGAGACUGCCCGGGUUAACCGGGAGGAAGGCGGGGAUGACGUCAAAUCAUCAUGCCCCUUAUGUCUAGGGCUACACACGUGCUACAAUGGUGAGAACAACGAGAUGCAAUACCGCGAGGUGGAGCAAAACUUACAAAACUCAUCUCAGUUCGGAUUGUAGGCUGAAACUC
rnacentral:rRNA from 1 species